AUUGAACGCUGGCGGCAGGCCUAACACAUGCAAGUCGAGCGGAGCGGCGGACGGGUGAGUAAUGCUUAGGAAUCUGCCUGGUAGUGGGGGAUAACGUCCGGUAACGGGCGCUAAUACCGCAUACUAUCAGAUGAGCCUAGGCCGGAUUAGCUAGUUGGUGGGGUAAAGGCCUACCAAGGCGACGAACCGUAACCGGUCUGCGCGGAUGAUCAGUCACACUGGAACUGAGACAGGGUCCAGACUCCUACGGGGGGCAGCAGUGGGAAAUAUUGGACAAGGGGGGAAAGCCUGAGCCAGCCAUGCCGCGUGUGUGAGAAGGUCUUCGGAUUGUAAAGCACUUUAAGUUGGGAGGCGUUACCAACAGAAUAAGCACCGGCUAACUUCGUGCCAGUCGCCGCGGUAAUUC
rnacentral:rRNA from 1 species